GUGAGCCAUUCCGCAAUUAAACGUAUUACCAUUGGUUUAAAUUAUUAUGUGGAAUUACUCGAUCUGUGGUUGUCCUACCCCCUGUCUGCCAAAGAUAGUUUUAUAAAGGACUCUGUUUGCCAAUAACUUGUCUUUGAUCAGUUGAUUGGGGAACCUGUUGCUCAGGGAAAGAGAGAGAGCAGAAAACGGCUACUGUUAUACAUGUAUUGUUUUUUUUCGGAAAUGGAAAUGAUUGUGGUUCUUAACCUCCAGCAGACGUCUUAGAGGAAAAAAUCAAUAGCUGUGAAGAGGAUAAUAAAUACCACUGAUCUAAUAGAGCAUAAUUCCAAAUCUGAGGGUAAUCUUAACCAGAAAAAUCAGCAAGGGAAUUAAGAUGCAAAUCAAGUUGAAAUGUAGCUGCUUGCAAGCUGCAGAGUCUGGAUGAAGAUCAAACUUGCUUAUCAGAGCCAUGCCCAAGUUUGGAGACCCAAUCAGAGAUGGAGAUGGAAGACACAACAUGUGGUGCUGUGGAUGUAUACGACAGCGAUGAUGAAUUUAAGAUUGUGAAACAGAAAAUAGAAGAGGAAAAGAAUACUGGAGAGGAUGUUAAGAAAACUGUGGCAAAAAGUUACAAGUAUCCUAAUCCUGGUCCAACUGGUACUACAUC